GUUCUCUCAUGUGCUGAUGCAUACACCCUGGCAACACUUGAAAGAUAUCUUACCAUAGUGAGGGAUUUUGCAGGAAAUCCAGGAUCAAACAUAAUAUUUUAAAUAUAGAAUACAGGAGGAGAAGUACUUGGCUGUUACUAUUGUACAUGUUCCCUAACUGCACGUGCAACGUAUGUUGUAUGUAAUUUUCCCAGAGGAAGUUCCCUAUAAUUGGCCAUUUCUUCCUAGCAAAAUAACUUUUAAAUGCUAUUAUUAAAAAAGUCAAGCUCAAACAUCUUGUAUAUAUACACACGCUCCUAGUCUAUUGUUUUGACAUGAAUUAUGUUUACUUUGUACUGUUAGGUUGUAGGAGGAGGGCACGUAGAAAGUCAUUUUUCUUUUAAUGCCUAUUUUACAGUUCUUAUGAUUAAUACAAUAGUCAUUAAGAAACUUUUUUUUUGGAGCCGGUAGCUUUUAUUCUGUUCCUAGCCUGAUUCUGCUAAGUUUCAUGAGGCACUGGCAAACAAUCUUUCCUAACAUCCAAAUUUAAACCAUAAAUCAGGAAUUUAAAAAGAUGAGACUUACAAAUGUCUUAUUUGCUUUGCCCAGUUAAAAUAUUUUAAAUGGGCCUGAGGUACCCAGUCAUAAACAGCUAUCACAUCUCCUAUGAUGGCUUGUAGGUUACCUGAGAGGAUUAUGUCUGUAUUUUACUGCUCUGAGGGACUCAAAAUACAUUUAUUCUAAUACAUUUUAUUUUCUCUGGGCUAAUAUUCAAAGUCCACAGGUUAGCUGAUGUGCCAGAACUGAAUUUCCCUGUAUUAAAGGCCACCAUGAUGUUUCAGGUUGAUGCCAUGAAGAUGAUGUUUGGCUAUACUAUCAGGAUACAGUUAUUUUAGAAACACUUUCAGAUGCUUUCCUCAGAAAGAAAACACAUCACUGAUUUUCAGAGAGGAUCAGAGAAGGAAAAGAUUGCAUCUUAAAGAUCCAUUUCAAGUAUUUCUGUUCUAUGGAAAAGGGUUCCUUUGGUUCAACCAUUUCAGUCCUUGUGACAGGCUGAAAUGGGAAAAAAACACCAAGCACUUGCUUCACUCUACUCCACAUUCUCAAUUUUUGCCAGCCAUCAGACAAGGGUGCUCAAAAUGACCAAGUAAGCAUGCACAUGUCCUUUAUAUGUGAUGAAAAAUAGAGUUGCUUGGUUUUGCCUGCUUAAGUUUACCAGGGGAAGACCUGUACACCAUGCCACGUGUAGAGGAACCAAGACAAAAUAUUUCACAUAUUUUGUACAUUGCUCAUAACAAAAAUUACAUAAGUUCAAGACUUUCAACUGGUAAUUUGUACAGCAGCACCUAACACUGAGAACAAAUUUAGACACAUCUAUACGCAUCAGAUAUUGACCACUAUCAAGACAGAUGUGUCAACCAGCAAAUAUCACCAGCUGCUUUUAAUGGCAGCAUUUGAUCACUUUUCCUUCUCCAUCUAAAACCUGAAUAUAUUCAGACAACUUUCAACUGCUACAUGACUGACCUUCACAAAAGCACACAGAAAAUGAAGAUAAGUAACAGAAAUCACAACUAUUCAGCAGGACUGUUCUCCUUCAAAGACACCUAGAUGUAAGUGCUGAGCAAGUGGUUGGAGACAGAUGGCAUCAGGGAACAGGAAGGAAGGCUGAAGUCAGAGCCUAGAGUUCAUUCAGAGGAACCAUAAUGCCAGGAGUUGUGUGCUGAGGGCAGUGAGUGUUUUUGUGCCUAAGCACUGACAGAAAGACUGGGCCACCUGUGUGUUAUGCUUUCCUCCUUUCUAAAAGUGUUUUUUUAGUUGCCAUGUUCGACAACAGCUGCUUAAUUUCUUUAAUGAGGGUACCAGAAUAAUUUCAGCUAGCUGAGAAAAUCACUAAGCCUUAAGUUGGCUUUCUUAAAGGUGUUGUGUUUCUUGGUCACCGUCAGUGACCUGUAUCUGUAGUUAGUCACACUGCACUCACUGAACCUAUCUGCAGGACUUAACUUGUGUGUGCUAUGGGUAAUAUCAGUUAUUAUGGGAGAAUCUCCAAAUAGUAUGUUUUGAAAAUAAACUUCUAACAGACCUGAAGAAGAUUUGCCAAAAACUUUGUAAGUGAGCAUUUACUUGGUUUACACCAGAGUUUUACUUAAUUUUUAAUGCCUUUUUAUAGUAGUGACUAGACUUUACCUUAGAUAAGAGUACCUCUGUAUAGGAAAUAUGUUAAUAUUUUUACAAGUUUUUUUAUUAUUAUUAUUUUAAUAGAAUAGAAGCAUACAUUGUAAGGUGAGAAAUUCAACAUCAGUGUAACAAGGUUAUCGCACAGGACCUGUUUCUCCAUUGUAAGGUUUUGUAGUAGUUUAACAGCACCUUGGCCUUUGAGUAUACAUGCUAACGUGAUAAAAGAAUAAAAAACAUUAUCUACAGCUAAUGCACAUUGUAGCACAAUAUUCUCCACUGUUGCCUUAAUUUCAUAAGAGAAAUUUAUAUAGCUUUUAAUUUAUAUUCUUAUGGAUGUGCAUGAUGUGUGCUGGUUAACUAUACUUAAAAUGCUGAUAAAGAUGGUGAAUGUUAAGUAUUUGUCCUCAUUCUUCUGUCUUUCUGUGGUCAGUGUAAAUAAGACCUGCUUUAAGCUGUGUAUUAAUGUAACAGAUUAUUCCAAUAUUGUGUAUAAAAUUAAGUAAAUAUCUGACAAAUAUGCACACAAAGAAUAUAAAGAAAAGUCUUAUGUACCAAGAGUUUACUUAUGGCAGUCAAUUAAAAGCUGAAAUGAAAACUCUGCUUGUUGUUACUGUUCCCAGCAUUAUACCUGACAGGCCCUGCUGUGCUCCUCCAGCCAAAGAUCCCUGCUGGCAGCUGGACCUCAGUUCUGCAAUGACCACCCUGGCAUUGGGAGGCUGCCCUCCCAGUAGAGCCCGGUAUCCCUUGCCAAGAGCCUCCACAAGCCAGCCCUGAGCUCCUACUACAGACCAGCAGCCAGCUAGAACUAGAAGCCCAAAAGCCUCUGUGCUCAAUGUAGUUCUCAGCCUCUGUGAGAUAGAUAGUUAACAUCCUUUUAGUGCCCAGCAGACCUAACGAACAGGAAACAUUCCACAUGUGAAUUCCUUUCAGGAACGUAAUUGCAGCAGGGCAAAUGAAAGUCUUACAGACAGGACAGAUGCUGAAAGAAAGCAGUGUUCUUAAG
rnacentral:lncRNA from 1 species